CCUACGGGAGGCAGCAGUGAGGAAUAUUGGUCAAUGGCCGUAAGGCUGAACCAGCGAAGUAGCGUGAGGGAAGACUGCCCUAUGGGUUGUAAGCCUCUUUUGUGCGGGGAUAAAGGUGUCCGCGUGUGGAUGUUUGCAGGUCCCGCAUGAAUAAGGACCGGCUAAUUCCGUGCCAGCAGCCGCGGUAAUACGGAAGGUCCGGGCGUUAUCCGGAUUUAGUGGGUUUAAGGGGAGAGUAGGCCGGUAGUUAAGCGUGCGGUGAAAGUUUGUGGCCAAACCAUGAGAGUGCGGGGCGAACUGGAGACCUUGAGUGCGCGGAAGGCAGGCGGAAUUCGUGGUGUAGCGGUGAAAUGCUUAGAUAUCACGAAGAACCCCGAUGGCGAAGGCAGCCUGCCGCAGCGUUACUGACGCUGAAGCUCGAAAGCGCGGGGAUCGAACAGGAUUAGAUACCCGGGUAGUC
rnacentral:rRNA from 1 species